AACGAACGCUGGCGGCAUGCCUAACACAUGCAAGUCGAACGAGACCUUCGGGUCUAGUGGCGCACGGGUGCGUAACGCGUGGGAACCUGCCCUUAGGUUCGGAAUAACUCCCCGAAAGGGGUGCUAAUACCGGAUAAUGUCUUCGGACCAAAGAUUUAUCGCCUUUGGAUGGGCCCGCGUUGGAUUAGCUAGUUGGUAGGGUAAAAGCCUACCAAGGCGACGAUCCAUAGCUGGUCUGAGAGGAUGAUCAGCCACACUGGGACUGAGACACGGCCCAGACUCCUACGGGAGGCAGCAGUGGGGAAUAUUGGACAAUGGGUGAAAGCCUGAUCCAGCAAUGCCGCGUGAGUGAUGAAGGCCUUAGGGUCGUAAAGCUCUUUUACCCGGGAUGAUAAUGACAGUACCGGGAGAAUAAGCUCCGGCUAACUCCGUG
rnacentral:rRNA from 1 species